rnacentral:rRNA from 1 species
UAUACAAAGGUAUUGAAAUAAGAUUUUAAAUGAGUGCUAAGAGRAUGAUUGAWCAAUUAUAGGCUUUCUUUAGUUAAAUAAUUAAAUUUAAUUUUUUUAGUGCAAAAGCAAAAAUUAAAUUUAGGGACAAGAAGACCCUAUGAAUUUUAAUUUAAUUUAUAAUUUGAAAUUUUAAAUUAAAUUUGAUUGGGGCGAUGGAAAAAGAAUGAGUAUCUUUUUUAGUUAUAAAAAUUGGCUCCGUUAA